rnacentral:rRNA from 1 species
GACGAACGCUGGCGGCGUGCCUAAUACAUGCAAGUCGAACGCAAAACUUUCACCGAAUGCUUGCAUUCACGAAAGUUUUGAGUGGCGAACGGGUGAGUAACACGUGGGUAACCUGCCCCGAAGAGGGGGAUAACACUUGGAAACAGGUGCUAAUACCGCAUAAUAACAAAAACCGCAUGGUUUUUGUUUGAAAGAUGGUUUUGCUAUCACUUCUGGACGGACCCGCGGCGUAUUAGCUAGUUGGUAAGGUAAAGGCUUACCAAGGCAAUGAUACGUAGCCGAACUGAGAGGUGGAUCGGCCACAGUGGGACUGAGACACGGCCCAAACUCCUACGGGAGGCAGCAGUAGGGAAUCUUCCACAAUGGACGAAAGUCUGAUGGAGCAACGCCGCGUGAGUGAAGAAGGUUUUCGGAUCGUAAAACUCUGUUGUUAGAGAAGAACGUGUGUGAGAGUAACUGCUCAUGCAGUGACGGUAUCUAACCAGAAAGCCACGGCUAACUACGUGCCAGCCGCCGCGGUAA